rnacentral:rRNA from 1 species
CCUACGGGUGGCAGCAGUGAGGAAUAUUGGUCAAUGGGCGGAAGCCUGAACCAGCCAAGUAGCGUGCAGGAUGACGGCCCUACGGGUUGUAAACUGCUUUUAUACGGGAAUAACGCGCCUUACGUGUAGGGCUUUGCAUGUACCGUAUGAAUAAGGACCGGCUAAUUCCGUGCCAGCAGCCGCGGUAAUUCGGAAGGUCCGGGCGUUAUCCGGAUUGAUUGGGUUUAAAGGGAGCGUAGGCCGGAUGGCAAGUGUGCUGGUAAAUGUCCGGGCUUAACCCGGGCCUUGCAGCGCGAACUGGCGUGCUUGAGUCCGCGGAAAGCAGGCGGAAAUCGGCGUGUAGCGGUGGAAAGCUUAGAUAAGGCGAAGAACCCCGAUUGCGAAGGCAGCUUGCUGCAGCGGAACUGACGCUGAUGCUCGAAAGCGCGGGUAUCGAACAGGAUUAGAUACCCUUGUAGUC